rnacentral:rRNA from 1 species
AGGAAAUAAUUAUAUAAAAUUAAACCUUAAAAUUAUGGCGGCAUUAUUACUUAUUAGAGGAAUCUGUCUAUUAAUCGAUAAUCCACGAUAAAUUUUACUAAAUUUAAAAGUUUUUAUACCACCAUCUAAAGAAUCUUCUAAAAAAACCAUUCAUAAUAUAUUUAUAUAAAGUUAGGUAAAGGUAAAACCAAUAAUUUAGACAUGAUGUGUUACAAUAAAAAAAAUUUAUGGAGGUUUUUAAUAAAUUUUUAAUUAAACCGAAUUUAAUUGUAAUUAUAAUUCAAUAUAUUAUAAUGAAAAAUUAUAUAUGUGU